rnacentral:rRNA from 1 species
AUAGGGGAGCCGCAGGGAAACCGAGUCUUAACUGGGCGUUAAGUUGCAGGGUAUAGACCCGAAACCCGGUGAUCUAGCCAUGGGCAGGUUGAAGGUUGGGUAACACUAACUGGAGGACCGAACCGACUAAUGUUGAAAAAUUAGCGGAUGACUUGUGGCUGGGGGUGAAAGGCCAAUCAAACCGGGAGAUAGCUGGUUCUCCCCGAAAGCUAUUUAGGUAGCGCCUCGUGAAUUCAUCUCCGGGGGUAGAGCACUGUUUCGACUAGGGGGUCAUCCCGACUUACCAACUCGAUGCAAACUGCGAAUACCGGAGAAUGUUAUCACGGGAGACACACGGCGGGUGCUAACGUCCGUCGUGAAGAGGGAAACAACCCAGACCGCCAGCUAAGGUCCCAAAGUCAUGGUUAAGUGGGAAACGAUGUGGGAAGGCCCAGACAGCCAGGAUGUUGGCUUAGAAGCAGCCAUCAUUUAAAGAAAGCGUAAUAGCUCACUGGUCGAGUCGGCCUGCGCGGAAGAUGUAACGGGGCUAAACCAUGCACCGAAGCUGCGGCAGCGA